CACUGCCGAGAAAAGCCUCUAGAUAGAAAAUAGGUGCCCGUACCGCAAACCGACACAGGUAGUCAAGAUGAGAAUUCUAAGGUGAGCGAGCGAACUCUCGUUAAGGAACUCGGCAAAAUGACCCCGUAACUUCGGGAGAAGGGGUGCUCUUUAGGGUUAACGCCCAGAAGAGCCGCAGUGAAUAGGCCCAAGCGACUGUUUAUCAAAAACACAGGUCUCUGCUAAACCGUAAGGUGAUGUAUAGGGGCUGACGCCUGCCCGGUGCUGGAAGGUU
rnacentral:rRNA from 1 species